UGCUGAUGCUCAUCGGAGGAGAGCAACAUGAUAUUAUCAACCAUUUAACACGGACUAUAAGAUUGUCAUUGUUAUCGAGAGGCCUAGAUAAGGCUUGGCUUGUCAGUAUUUAUACAUUUAUACAUGUUUAAAUUAAUUCUAUAUACGAACGACGUUAAAAGUGACUUUAAUACUUGAGAGGACUUAUGAACAGGGUGAUGACCUACGGUGUCGAUAUAAAAUAACUAUGUUAAAACACUGCUCAUCUUUAAAGUAUAUUACUUGCCAUUAUUGAAUUAAAUAUGGAUAAAAGCCUUAAUGUGAAUAUCCAUAAAGUA
rnacentral:misc_RNA from 1 species